UUGCUUCAGCAGCACAUGUACUAAAAUUGGAACAAUACAGAGAAGAUUAGGAUGGCCCCGGUGCAAGGAUGACACACAAAUUCAUGAAGCAUUCCAUAUUUUA